GGGUUGUGAGGUUAAGCGACUAAGCGUACACGGUGGAUGCCCUGGCAGUCAGAGGCGAUGAAGGACGUGCUAAUCUGCGAAAAGCGUCGGUAAGGUGAUAUGAACCGUUAUAGCCGGCGAUGUCCGAAUGGGGAAACCCAGUGCAAUUCGUUGCACUAUCGUUAACUGAAUACAUAGUCAAACGAGGCGAACCGGGGGAACUGAAACAUCUAAGUACCCCGAGGAAAAGAAAUCAACCGAGAUUCCCCCAGUAGCGGCGAGCGAACGGGGAGCAGCCCGGAGUCUGAAUCAGCUUGUGUGUUAGUGGAAGCGUCUGGAAAGUCGCAGGGUACAGGGUGAUACUCCCGUACACUAAAGCACACAGGUUGUGAACUCGAAGAGUAGGGCGGGACACGUGGUAUCCUGUCUGAAUAUGGGGGGACCAUCCUCCAAGGCUAAAUACUCCUGACUGACCGAUAGUGAACCAGUACCGUGAGGGAAAGGCGAAAAGAACCCCGGCGAGGGGAGUGAAAAAGAACCUGAAACCGUGUACGUACAAGCAGUAGGAGCCUCUUUAUGGGGUGACUGCGUACCUUUUGUAUAAUGGGUCAGCGACUUAUAUUCUGUAGCAAGGUUAACCGUAUAGGGGAGCCGCAGGGAAACCGAGUCUUAACUGGGCGUUAAGUUGCAGGGUAUAGACCCGAAACCCGGUGAUCUAGCCAUGGGCAGGUUGAAGGUUGGGUAACACUAACUGGAGGACCGAACCGACUAAUGUUGAAAAAUUAGCGGAUGACUUGUGGCUGGGGGUGAAAGGCCAAUCAAACCGGGAGAUAGCUGGUUCUCCCCGAAAGCUAUUUAGGUAGCGCCUCGUGAAUUCAUCUUCGGGGGUAGAGCACUGUUUCGGCUAGGGGGUCAUCCCGACUUACCAACCCGAUGCAAACUACGAAUACCGAAGAAUGUUAUCACGGGAGACACACGGCGGGUGCUAACGUCCGUCGUGAAGAGGGAAACAACCCAGACCGCCAGCUAAGGUCCCAAAGUCAUGGUUAAGUGGGAAACGAUGUGGGAAGGCCCAGACAGCCAGGAUGUUGGCUUAGAAGCAGCCAUCAUUUAAAGAAAGCGUAAUAGCUCACUGGUCGAGUCGGCCUGCGCGGAAGAUGUAACGGGGCUAAACCAUGCACCGAAGCUGCGGCAGCGACACUAUGUGUUGUUGGGUAGGGGAGCGUUCUGUAAGCCGUCGAAGGUGGCCUGUGAGGGUUGCUGGAGGUAUCAGAAGUGCGAAUGCUGACAUAAGUAACGAUAAUGCGGGUGAAAAACCCGCACGCCGGAAGACCAAGGGUUCCUGUCCAACGUUAAUCGGGGCAGGGUGAGUCGACCCCUAAGGCGAGGCCGAAAGGCGUAGUCGAUGGGAAACAGGUUAAUAUUCCUGUACUCGGUGUUACUGCGAAGGGGGGACGGAGAAGGCUAUGUUGGCCGGGCGACGGUUGUCCCGGUUUAAGCAUGUAGGCGGAUGUUCCAGGUAAAUCCGGAACGUUAUUAACGCUGAGGUGUGAUGACGAGGCACUACGGUGCUGAAGUGACAAAUGCCCUGCUUCCAGGAAAAGCCUCUAAGCAUCAGGUAACAUCAAAUCGUACCCCAAACCGACACAGGUGGUCAGGUAGAGAAUACCAAGGCGCUUGAGAGAACUCGGGUGAAGGAACUAGGCAAAAUGGUGCCGUAACUUCGGGAGAAGGCACGCUGAUAGGUAGGUGAAGUGGUUUACCCAUGGAGCUGAAAUCAGUCGAAGAUACCAGCUGGCUGCAACUGUUUAUUAAAAACACAGCACUGUGCAAACACGAAAGUGGACGUAUACGGUGUGACGCCUGCCCGGUGCCGGAAGGUUAAUUGAUGGGGUUAUCCGUAAGGAGAAGCUCUUGAUCGAAGCCCCGGUAAACGGCGGCCGUAACUAUAACGGUCCUAAGGUAGCGAAAUUCCUUGUCGGGUAAGUUCCGACCUGCACGAAUGGCGUAAUGAUGGCCAGGCUGUCUCCACCCGAGACUCAGUGAAAUUGAACUCGCUGUGAAGAUGCAGUGUACCCGCGGCAAGACGGAAAGACCCCGUGAACCUUUACUAUAGCUUGACACUGAACACUGGUCCUUGAUGUGUAGGAUAGGUGGGAGGCUUUGAAGUGUGGACGCCAGUCUGCAUGGAGCCAUCCUUGAAAUACCACCCUUUAAUGGCUGGUGUUCUAACGUGGGCCCGUUAUCCGGGUUGCGGACAGUGUCUGGUGGGUAGUUUGACUGGGGCGGUCUCCUCCUAAAGAGUAACGGAGGAGCACGAAGGUCAGCUAAUCCUGGUCGGACAUCAGGAGGUUAGUGCAAUGGCAUAAGCUGGCUUGACUGCGAGCGUGACGGCGCGAGCAGGUGCGAAAGCAGGUCAUAGUGAUCCGGUGGUUCUGAAUGGAAGGGCCAUCGCUCAACGGAUAAAAGGUACUCCGGGGAUAACAGGCUGAUACCGCCCAAGAGUUCAUAUCGACGGCGGUGUUUGGCACCUCGAUGUCGGCUCAUCACAUCCUGGGGCUGAAGUAGGUCCCAAGGGUAUGGCUGUUCGCCAUUUAAAGUGGUACGCGAGCUGGGUUUAGAACGUCGUGAGACAGUUCGGUCCCUAUCUGCCGUGGGCGCUGGAGAAUUGAGGGGGGCUGCUCCUAGUACGAGAGGACCGGAGUGGACGCAUCACUGGUGUUCGGGUUGUCAUGCCAAUGGCAUUGCCCGGUAGCUAAAUGCGGAAGAGAUAAGUGCUGAAAGCAUCUAAGCACGAAACUUGCCCCGAGAUGAGUUCUCCCUGACUCCUUGAGAGUCCUGAAGGAACGUUGAAGACGACGACGUUGAUAGGCCGGGUGUGUAAGCGCAGCGAUGCGUUGAGCUAACCGGUACUAAUGAACCGUGAGGCUUAACCUUACAACGCCGAAG
rnacentral:rRNA from 1 species